GCAAGUCGAACGAGAACCAGUGAGUUCGUAAGAACGCGCUGGGGACAGUGGCGAACGGGUGCGUAACACGAGAGAAACCUGCCCUGGAGACCGGGAUAUCGCGGGGAAACCCGCAUUAAUACCGGAUAACUUCAUCGGACCUUAUGGUCUGACGAAGAAAUGGUACGCCGCUGUAGGAUGGUCUCGCGGCCUAUCAGCUUGUUGGCGAGGUAAGGCUCACCAAGGCAACGACGGGUAGCUGGUCUGAGAGGACGAUC
rnacentral:rRNA from 1 species